rnacentral:lncRNA from 14 species
GUAUAACCUUUCCAAGGAGGAAAGGACUGCAUCGCCUGGUUGAAAGCAUCCCACCGUCAGAAAUCCCAUGUUUCUAAGAAAAAAAGAAGAGUGAGAACACAAUAUCAGCUGGGCUCCUGCUAUGUCUGACACCUUCAUCUUCCCCUCCUGAUGCUGCUUGGCCAGACCGUCUGGGUGACGGGAGAGACCGCGUUGGCCAGUUUGUCCUCUCGUGAGCAUAGAGAAGUGUCAGACCUGUAACAAGACUGCCUGUCCAACACUGCACCAGGCACAAAAGUUCUUCAAUACCAGGAAGAGGCAACAAGAGGAAACCUCAAGAUCAUGUAAUUCCCACAGAAAAUUGCAUUUGGAUGAAAGAGGUUUUUUGCUUUUCCC